CGCGCUCGGCCCAAUGUUUUGCACCCCCUGCAAUAUGGCUGCGAUAACCUUGAAAAGGUCUAUUGAUCAUGGUGGUCCGAGAAAGGAAUUUUUCCAUCUUUUGUUGGGAGCUAUAGCAAGGGGAAGUGCAACAUUAACAAGUAAGGCAGCUUCAAUGUUUCAACUUUGAUUUUCACCUCAACAUUUUUUGACUUUGGAAUUGUUUAGUGCAAGUAUGAAGUACCAUUUCUCCAUCAAUGUAACUGACCAUUUGAAUAUGGGGAACAUACAUUGUAAUGUUUACAUACUAAAAUCAUUGUGUUUCUUGCAGAUACAACUUGCAGUCAUGUUUUGAGGUGCAAUGUAAAUGCUUUGCAGAGUAAAACCUAUGCAGAUGUUGGGCGGAUGCUAUCAACAUUAGUUGUUCAAGGAGGUCAACUGCCACGGUUGUUGAGUAGAUCAAUUUGCUAGUACAUUCAAGGAUCCUUUGACGCUUCAACACCAGUUAUUGAGGAAGUGCCUGAAAAGAGUAUCAGAAAUUCUCUAAAGAAGCUUGAAAAUAGCAGCACUCAGCAGGAAUCGGAUGAAACUCUCAAUCAAUGUGAAUGGCGUUAUGAUAUUGAUGGUUUACUAACAUGUUUGAAGAUUCAGGAAAAACUUUUUACUAAAGAUUAAAUUAGGCGCAAUCUUAACACAAGCUUUUACAUUGUAGAUGGUACAUUAAUGCAGGAAUUGGCUGAUGAAGGUGUUGAGUUAACAACAGAAAAAAAAAUUCAUCCCGUCUUUAAAACCUGCUUAUUUUCUUCUGUUUGCAACUGGUGCAACGGACACACCUACUUUAGGCUUUGAUCCGUCUCCAACAAUGUGCAUGAUGAUAUGACGAUACCUACUGCUCAAACAUGUUCAAAUAUGCUGUAUUUGUAUGUCAACAAAUAUACUGUUGAAAACAGCAUAGCCCAUCAAUUGCUGAUUGCAUUAAUCAAUGGAGGAGUCUUCAGCAAAUUAUAAACUGAUGAUUAUAGCAAGCAUGUCAGUUUUUUAUAAUGCAUACAAAUAGUUUUAUUUAUUGUAAGUUUUGUUUAACACUUGUUCACAUAGAACAGUUUUUCAUUUAUAUUUAAUAAGCACACUUAUUUUUAAAAUCAAGCUAUUAAAAAAGUUUUACACUAAUUAAAAAACUAAAAAUUAUCAAUUAUUUGUUUGCCUUAUAGAACAUUUCAUUGAGCAAUUUGAUAUAAAUCUUCAUACAAAUCAAGAGCAUUUCUCCAAUUGAUGGAAGGGAGUAAGUGAAGAGUAUCUGUCACAUGCAAAAAAUAUUCCUGAAAAAUAUUAGUUUCCACAUCUUCAUGGCAGUAUUCCCUCAUGUCUUCAAAAUCAGUUUCAUCCACAGGUUGGAUACAAUUGGCAGCUCCGUUGCACUCAGGAUAAUGUACUUAUUAACAGUCUUUUGGUAUUGAAUUUAAAAGCCAUGCUGUGUCAUACAAUAAAGCUGAUUUAGAUAAGUCUGGCCGGGGAAAUUAAAGCCUAGAAUGUGUUGAAUCUAGGGUUAAUUUGCCUUGUGAAUUUUUUUCUUGUAUAUUUUCUAUAAGAAAUGUCUCGUUCAUUGAAUUUAAAUUUUUCAUUUAUUAAAAAAACUAUAUAAGCGCACUGUUAAUAUCA